GGGCUUGAAGGAAGCAGGAGGCUAAGGCUGUGGCAUAGGGGUGCUGGGAUACCCACCACAUGUUGUUCUUUGCUCUCACCCACCCCACCUAGGGCUACAGCACCAGAGAGCAUCUUGUGGAGUUGGGAACCCAGAGGGUUCACGAUGAGGGGCCAUCAACCAGGUCUUCCUGCUCCCUGGAGGCCAGGCGUGGGUGGCUUCUCAGGCCGUAGGAUCAAACAGAUGCAGUAAUCACGAGCGUGCACGCCUCCUCAGGAAGCCUCCACAUUCCAGG
ensembl:processed_transcript